AUACUCACCCUUCGUCUAAGUAACAGGCCUCAAGCGAGUGGCUCAGCUUAAAUUCCAGGCUUGCUUGCUGUCUGCGGCGCUUGGGGAUGCGCCUUCAUGGCCUGUGCCAGCCGGGGUGCGGAAAGUGGGGCGCAAUAACACUGGGUUCAAAACACUUAAGUAAAGGGAAAGGCUGUUUAUUACGGGCCCUUAAUAUCACAUACUGAAAAUACCAGCAAUGUGAGAUACGUACGUAUAAUCCAGAGGGCCUGGCGGCAUCCGGGUAUUUCCUUUAAUUUUCCGGGGAUUUUUAAGAACUGUUUUAUUCCCUUUCAAGAAACGUUUAUCAGAAGGAAACUCCAUUGUUGAGGAUGAACUGAUGUAGAGAGACGGAGUUUUCUCUAAGGAUGGCGGAUGAAGAAAUCACUGGGACUGAAUCAACCCCCGCUUUCUGCCUCAUAGUCUUGUUUGGAGCUGCGGGAUAUGGGUGAGAAAGACAGCUGAAAUAUUUCACAACCUUUCUGCACAAAGUGCUCUCUGAAGAUAGAGGAUGUUCAGCAGGACAGAACAGAAAGGAUCUGAGACCCAGAAGCCUCCUGAAAAAUGACAAAAGGAUGAAAAUGACAAAAGGACAAAACAGUUGAUUAAAUUACCACAAAUGUGACAUGCUUUUUGUAAUGGAUGAGGCUCCCUGCUGCUCUUGGAUUUACCAGUGAUAAACUCUUUGUUUUGGCAGUUGGUAUUAAAGUAAAUGUAUUUAAAAAUUUUAUGGAAAAUGUCUGCAUCAGAACCCAGUUGUAGAAACACACGAGUUAUUAACCACUAAUGUGCCAUAUAUCUGGAGAUGAUGCAAAGGGGCUUCCCUGUCUUUGGAGAGGACUAAAGGGGCUGCUGGCAAAUAUAU